AUUGAACGCUGGCGGCAUGCCUUACACAUGCAAGUCGAACGGCAGCACGGGGCAACCUGGUGGCGAGUGGCGAACGGGUGAGUAAAGUAUCGGAACGUGCCUUUCAGUGAGGGAUAACGUAGCGAAAGUUACGCUAAUACCGCAUAUUCUCUGAGGAGGAAAGCAGGGGACCUUCGGGCCUUGCGCUGAUAGAGCGGCCGAUAUCAGAUUAGCUAGUUGGUGAGGUAAAGGCUCACCAAGGCGACGAUCUGUAGCGGGUCUGAGAGGAUGAUCCGCCACACUGGAACUGAGACACGGUCCAGACUCCUACGGGAGGCAGCAGUGGGGAAUUUUGGACAAUGGGGGCAACCCUGAUCCAGCCAUGCCGCGUGAGUGAAGAAGGCCUUCGGGUUGUAAAGCUCUUUCGGCCGGGAAGAAAUCGCAUAGGUUAAUACCCUGUGUGGAUGACGGUACCGGAACAAGAAGCACCGGCUAACUACGUGCCAGCAGCCGCCGCAGUAA
rnacentral:rRNA from 1 species